rnacentral:lncRNA from 1 species
UAAAUCUGAUCACAACUCACGUGUUGAAUUGCAGAAAAUUUAGUACACAAUGGGUAAUUGAGCAUACACAAAAAGUCCAGUCACAUAUCUCUCGUAAUGCUACGCUUUUAAUUCUUCUAUCGAAAAAACUACCAUAUGCCCUAGGAUAACCACCAUGUGCGCAUCCAUGUGACAAUAGCUUGUACCUUUCACUUGACAUGAUUCUUAGUUGAGCACCGCUACAGGGACGACGUUUACCAGCCGAUCAUUGCACGACAUGGGUAUCACACCGUCCAUGGGCAAGUAUAAAACAGCAGAAACGACUGGAUUUGCCAUCGUGCAAGUGUCGUUCACUGUUGUGUCAUGUGUGAAGUACUUCCGUCCUUAGUUGGUUGUGCCUCCUCUAUUUCUCUAAAAGAUACAAAAAGACAAUGUCAUGUGUAAAGCUAGAAUAAUCAGACAAUGAAGUUGUGCGAACUAAAAGCUAUCUAACUUGAUUACAACUCAAAACUACUCCCUCCGUUCCUAAAUAUAAGUCUUCUUAGAAAUUUCAAUAUGCACUACAUACGGAUGUAUAUAGACUUAUUUUAGAGUGUAGAUUCACUAAUUUUGCUUCGUAUGUAGUCCAUAUAUGAAUCUCUAAAAAGACUUGUAUUUAGGAACGGAUGGAGUAAAAAUUUGCAGGUUAAGAAUGAUCCUGAUGACAUAUGAUGGCCGCACCUUGAAACUAAUUAUUUGAAUUAGAACAUGCAUUUGGAAAACAAAGAACUACUACACUGGAACAUGCAUUUAUAAAAAUACAAUGAUGCAUCUGAAGAAAGAAAUACUACUAUACUGGGAAUGCACUUGGAAAAAUCAGUGCAACUUGCUUAUCACGUGUAGAAGAUGUGAAUUUUAACAAGCAAGAUAUGAGCAAUAGCGUGAGCCUGGUCUUGACAAGUUAGACAAAGCCACAUAUGCACUCUUCUUUCUUAGUGUCUCAUUGUCGCCAACAUCUGAAUGGUUGCCUUGAUACUUUGGCAAAGCCACUGCAAUCUAUAAAAUAAAUCCAUUGAUGGUCACACUAAAAGUUUGCUCUUUAUAAGCAUUGAGUUUUCGACAGCCUCAAGAAUAGAGAACACUACAAAGAGCUAUUUUUGUCAUGGAUAAUCAAUUAAAUAGGCACUAAUGAACUGCUGCAUGCACACAAUCAGUUUCAGUGAUUGUACAAAACAAAAACGAAGGUGAACAAACAUGUACAUGGGCAUUUUGAAGGUAAGGGAAGCAAUAACAUCACUCAGUGCAGACAGUGACUUGUCGAUGAACUUUGCCUCCUUAUACCUCUCUCCUUCUAAUUCAGUUUUGGGAAAGUGGUCACUUCCAGCAUGGUCAAACAACCAUAUGUGGGUUCUACUCCUUUGCCCACUAAGCAAAUGCCCACUCAUGAUGGUGACCCUAACCAAGAUGCAAGUGAAAUAGAAGUUCGGAUGUCAUUAUCCCAUUGUUAAAAUAUGCUCAUUACUAUGUCAAGUAUGCUAAAUUAAAUAGAACUGGUUCAGUAACACUUCUUGAUUAAAUCAACUAACACAGCUAUUAUCUGGAACAACUUCCAUAGUGAACAUUUUCACUGUUCCAGUUUGCCCACAUUGAAACCAUACAUCACUGACCUCACGACUGACAGAUUCUUAGCAAAUACAACAUCUGAAUAAAACAUAUAGAACAUAACCAAUUAAAUUCAACAUCAUCCAACAAUAUUAGCAUAUUUAAAAUAUAUUGAGAAAAGGAAUACAUAUGCUUAUUAUCGUGUUGAAAGACUGUCCAAUUCAUGAAUUUGAUACAUCACAACGUUUGGAAGAAAACUUAAAUGAUUGCCCUAUUCAUAAAUUUUCAUGAAUGCAGGAGCGGUAAAAUUCAAUUUGCAAGAAGCUUUUGAAAAUGCAGAUUGUGAUGUUCCACACACCAUCUAUUGUAUUAUUUUCUCAUCCAAAUUUCAUACCAUGCAAUAAAUAGGAGAUAGAAGAAUAUAAGGAACAUGCUUAGGCCUGCCUCUGUCAUUCCCUCUC